rnacentral:rRNA from 1 species
UACGUAGGCAGCAAGCGUUGUUCGGAAUUACUGGGCGUAAAGAGUGUGUAGGCGGUGCUCCAAGUCUGGUGUGAAAUCUCCCGGCUUAACUGGGAGGGUGCAUUAGAAACUGGAAUGCUAGAGGAUGGGAGAGGUAAGCGGAAUUCCUGGUGUAGCGGUGAAAUGCGUAGAUAUCUGGAGGAACACCGGUGGCGAAGGCGGCAUCCUGGACCGGCAUUGACGCUGAGGCGCGAAAGCCAGGGGAGCAAACGGG